rnacentral:rRNA from 1 species
AUGCAGUCAAGCUAUCUCACUAUAUAUAUUCCAACUUGCAGGUUCGAGUGGUAUGCACAUCCCAAAAUUAUCUGCUCAUACACAACACAAUUCUACUCAUAUCUCACACAAGUUUUUGUUCAUACAGAUCACGGUUUUCCAACGAAUCCCUUCCAGAACGACAGGUUCGCUUCCGCUAACUCCCAGUAUGAAAAUCCAGAGAUGUGUCCACCUCCUAAUUAUCCAAUAAAUUUGUCUUCGCAACCACAUAUGUCCAAACAAUUUGAUUCUAGUGGAUAUUGUGACUAUGGUUAUGCUCUAAGUAUGCAACACAAUGCUACCGAUGGCCAAAACGACGACGAUGAUGAAGAUAGCCGAGGCUGGUGUCUAGCUUCGACCGAGGAGGACAACAUCAGACUGGUGACUAGUCAUCAAGUAUUUUUAUUGUUAUAG